rnacentral:tRNA from 1 species
GCCGAAGUGGCGGAAUAGGCAGACGCGCGCGACUCAAAAUCGCGUGAGGCGAACCCUCGUGCCGGUUCAAGUCCGGCCUUCGGCACCA